GUAGUUGAAGAAGGAAGAUCUUUACAUGUUGUUAUUGAUGGCUAUUUGUAUUCUCAAGCUAAUGGGUCAUUAUGUUUAGUUUAAUCCAGACAUUUUGUAUUCUUUUACACUAUGUGUCUUGAUGCAGAAAGUGUGUAUUUCUUUCUUUGUUAUGUGUUUAAAGGUCUAUGCAGUGGAGGGGAGGAAGAGGCAAUGCCUUUAAUAUGAGUCUACCUGGGGAAAGAGUAGAGUUCCCUGCCUCUAAAAUGAGUGUCUUUGGUGACCAUGACAUGAAGACAUGGAGCCCAAUCCUCCUGGAGAGACCAGCCUCCCCUGUACCCAGCUGUGUGUCCAUGAAGAGUGACAGGUCUAUGACUCAACCUAUUCAGUUCACUGAUGAAAGGUACAGUAUGUUUAGCUCUAGGACAUAUAGAGCACAUUGCAAAAGUAUUCAGACCCCUGACUGAUUCUCUCGUAUUACUGAAUUACAAAUGGUGUAUUGAAAUAUCUUUUGUUGGGAGAUAUUUGUAAGGGGGAAUAAGAAACCUGUUGCUUGCACAGGUAUUCAACGCCCAACGUGAAUAUUGAAUUCAAAUGACAAUUGCCUGGUUCGUCACUGUAUUUUACCAAUGUCACACUAACAAACCUCUUAAUACAGAGGCUUGAUGUUUUAGAACAAAUUGUGGAUGUGAAUCCCAUAUAGUGUGUUAGAUUCUGUCCACUUGAUCUUCUUUAGCUGGUACAUGUUCUCCAAUAAUCAAAAGGCUAAGACAGUAUUUCAUGCCUGAAGAGGCGGUCAGUGAUCAUAGCCAAUCCCCUACACAGUCUCUAUAUCCUCCAAUCAGAAAUGGGUAUCCUACAGAAUAGGCUUCUAUGGUCUGUAGUGUCCAUGGGUCUAUCCAUAAGUCUUAUGAGACACACACACUCACACACAUUGGAUGUCUUGGAGGUCCCAGCUCUACACAGGAUCUGUGUGUGGGGCCCCAUCGGUAGUUGGAACCAGAUGUUACCUACAAUUGAAGUCUGAUGUUUACAUACACCUUAGCCAAAUACAUUUGAAUAUACCCG
rnacentral:lncRNA from 1 species